CUCUCUGGCAGCCAGGGACGAGCAGGAGCUGCACGGCCAGCCCGCGUUUGGUUUGGCCCGGGUACGGCCAAAUGUGGUAAUCUCGUAUUCCCUAAGGCUCCUUUCUGCUACGGAAGAAGCAGGAGACCUAGAAGACCUGAUUGCUUGAAUAUUUUUAGUGCUUGGAUGUCAUGUUUUGAGGCCGAUGCACUCACCUGCGAGGUGACAGUGCCUGAGGAGGUACAUUAAGGGAAACAGAAGACUCCCUUCCUCAUCACUAACGUCCUUGGCUGCAGACACUGCAAGUUGUGUGUCUGACUCUGAAACCACUCAUUAGUAACAACUGAGUAUGGCCACUACAAAAUGAAGUGUCCCUUGGAAAAUUCCGAAGAGGUAAAGGGACAAUCAG